ACCUGCGGAAGGAUCAUUACCGAGUGAGGGCCCUCUGGGUCCAACCUCCCACCCGUGUCUAUCGUACCUUGUUGCUUCGGCGGGCCCGCCGUUUCGACGGCCGCCGGGGAGGCCUUGCGCCCCCGGGCCCGCGCCCGCCGAAGACCCCAACAUGAACGCUGUUCUGAAAGUAUGCAGUCUGAGUUGAUUAUCGUAAUCAGUUAAAACUUUCAACAACGGAUCUCUUGGUUCCGGCAUCGAUGAAGAACGCAGCGAAAUGCGAUAAGUAAUGUGAAUUGCAGAAUUCAGUGAAUCAUCGAGUCUUUGAACGCACAUUGCGCCCCCUGGUAUUCCGGGGGGCAUGCCUGUCCGAGCGUCAUUGCUGCCCUCAAGCACGGCUUGUGUGUUGGGCCCCCGUCCCCCUCUCCCGGGGGACGGGCCCGAAAGGCAGCGGCGGCACCGCGUCCGGUCCUCGAGCGUAUGGGGCUUUGUCACCUGCUCUGUAGGCCCGGCCGGCGCCAGCCGACACCCAACUUUAUUUUUCUAAGGUUGACCUCGGAUCAGGUAGGGAUACCCGCUGAACUUAAGCAUAUCAAUAAGGCGGAGGAA
rnacentral:rRNA from 1 species